rnacentral:rRNA from 1 species
AGGCGAUGAAGGGCGUGCUAAUCUGCGAUAAGCGCCGGUAAGGUGAUAUGAACCGUUAUAACCGGCGAUACCCGAAUGGGGAAACCCAGUGUGACUCGUCACACUAUCAUUAACUGAAUCCAUAGGUUAAUGAGGCGAACCGGGGGAACUGAAACAUCUAAGUACCCCGAGGAAAAGAAAUCAACCGAGAUUCCCCCAGUAGCGGCGAGCGAACGGGGAGGAGCCCAGAGCCUGAAUCAGCAUGUGUGUUAGUGGAAGCGUCUGGAAAGGCGCGCGAUACAGGGUGACAGCCCCGUACACAAAAGCGCAUGUGCUGUGAGCUCGAUGAGUAGGGCGGGACACGUGGUAUCCUGUCUGAAUAUGGGGGGACCAUCCUCCAAGGCUAAAUACUCCUGACUGACCGAUAGUGAACCAGUACCGUGAGGGAAAGGCGAAAAGAACCCCGGCGAGGGGAGUGAAAAAGAACCUGAAACCGUGUACGUACAAGCAGUGGGAGCCCCACCACCAAAGCAUUUGCUGUACCGCGUUGACGGAGCGAAGCGACGUCAAACCGAUAAAACAGCAGUGUAAAGUGAGCCGCAGGGCGCUUUGCGCGACAGCGCAAAGGCAGGCGGUUUCGCGUAGCGAAAGCGAAUGCUUUGGGGUGGGGUGACUGCGUA